rnacentral:lncRNA from 1 species
UUCUUUCUCUUUGUUUCUUCUUCUUUGUUUUCAUAUAUCACACAUGUUUUGCCAUUUCAUAUAUGAUUUUCAGAUGCCAAAAUUUAUCUUUCUCUCUUCUCUUGCUAUACAACAUGAUCUGAUAACCCCUAGCCGCUUAAUUCCUCCCUUUUCCAGUGGUGUUUUCGAUUAUUACCUGUAUAAAAACACUAGAUCGUGCAUCUCUCAGAUCUAGGUUUUAAAACAUUGGUUUUCGGUGUUCAAUCAUGCUAGAUCUGGAAGAUAUUUCUUAGAUCUAAGUUUUAUGUCAAACCUUCCAAACUAUAUUGACACCAGAUCUAAAUUUUUCUUUACCAAACUUGAGGCUAAUCCAAUAUCACAUCUUUUAGGCUAUAUAAGCAUCACAUCAACACAACUCAAGGUAUGUUUGAUUUGAAAUAUAGCUUUUACUUUAAGCACACACUAACUUAAGCAUCAUAGUGAUUGCAGGUACGUACAACCCCACCGUUGGGUGAAGACAUGGAUUCCAGCGCCAUCUGAAGGUUCAAAGAGUCGUCAUCCCAUGAUACGUCGCCAACUGUUGUUGUAGAUCCAAGUUCUAAAUUGAAACAGUAAGUUAUGUAUAUUUAAUUAUUUAUUAAAAUAUUCACAACAUAUAUUUAUGUUCAUUAUUCACAACAUUAAUUCGUAAAAAAUAGUCAAAUAAAAAACAUUAUUUCAACAUAAAAAUUGGAAAUAAACUAUUUUUUAGUAUAAUACGAAAAAAUAUUUAAAUUUUAUUCAUUGGUAUUUUAAUACUAUAUAUAUUUUUGCCAAUACUAAUGGAUAAAAAAUAAAUAUUCAGUCAAAAAUAAAUAAAUAUAAUACUAAUCUAGUUCUAAAAAUUUAUAUUUUAAUAUCAUUUACUAAUUCUCCCGAAUAAUUUAUUCAUUAAUAAUUAUACUAUAUUAUAUUACAUGUACUUUUUAUAUUUUAGGAAACCAGUAUUACAAUUGUAUAACUUCCAUAUAAUAAUUUCAAUAAUAUGUUAAUUAAAAAAUAUUAUAAAUUUAUUACUAAUUUGUCAAAAAAAUAAAUAAGAUAUUGGUAAUUUUAUUUAAUAUUUUACAAUAAUGUCUAUUACCAAUCAUACUUUUGAUUCUUAUGUCCCACAUUAUAAAUUAUUUUAGAGAGAAAAAAGUACUAUUUUAUAAUAUCAAUGAAGUAUUAAUUUAAUUUUUUUCUAUUAUGCUCAUAAUUAUUUACUACUAUCCCUUUUCCAUAUAUUUGUCCACCUUUGUGUCUUUAUUCAUCUGCAUAUAUAUUAUUGGUACUUGAUUAUUUAACCUUCUCACGUUCCUCCUGUUGCAUCCUCUCAAAAUCUUCUUCUUUUGCAUUCUUUUUAAUUUUAAUCUUGAAUUAUUAUGAUAUGGUCAUAAUUUGAAGAAUAAUUCUUGCAUAUUCCUCUCUUUUUUAGUCUAUGCAUGUUUAAUUUUAGUUCUUCAUACAAUGCGAUUUUCCUCCAUGGUCUUUGGCAGCUUCUCAGUCACAAUACCAAAUCAUUCUUCAAGAGAUUUUGCAUUUUUUUUUUCCUUUCACGACUUUGUUCUUCAAAUAGUUAUUUUAUGGAUUUCCUCACAGAUUUGACGAAUUUAGGGUACAACCAUCUCUUGGUAUGAUCUCAUGUCAUAUUUGAGUUUAGAUUUACCUUGGUAAUGUUUUUUUUGGUGCAAUUAUAUCCCUUAUAUUUGAUUGAACUGAGUAGGUUUUAUCUAGAACUGAAUCAAUACAGUCGAAUGUAAGGGAUUGAACUGCACCAUAAUAGACAUUGCCUAAGUAUAUUUAUACUCAAAUAUGACAUAGAAUCGUAUCAAGAGAUGGUUGUACACUAAAUUGCGACGAAUGUAUAAGAGUAUAACCAUAACCUUAUUUAUUUGAAGAACAAGGUUGCAAAGAAAAAACACAUGCAAAAGCUUUUGAAAUAUGAUUUGGUAUAGAGAGUGAGAAGUUGCCAAUGACAAUGGAGGAAAAUAACAUUGUACGACAUAGAACAAAAAUGUAACAUGAAUAUAUUUGAUUAAAGAAGAAAUGCAUUUGCAAGAACAAAUAUUCAAAAACCAGAUCAAAAUCAUUCAUGUUUCAUGAUUCAAGGAAUGAAAAAGAAGAAGGUUUUGAGANNNNNNNNNNNNNNNNNNNNNNNNNNNNNNNNNNNNNNNNNNNUAUUGGUAAUAAUAAUAAUUUUCUCUUUCCUAUAUAAGGUGCUCACUACUAGGGUAACCAUUAUUAAUAAUGAUAAAAAUAUUCUCUAAUUCUUUCAUUAUAAAAAAAUUAAAAUCGUAUAAAUAAUUAAUAUGUAAAAUAAAGUUUAUAUUUGUUUGCAUAAUAAUAAAAUAAAAAAAUUAGACUUAAUUAUUGUUUUGCUCCCUUAAUUAGUUUAUAGGUUUCGUUUUAAGUCCCUUAAAUAAUAAAUAUUAUGCUUUGGUCCCUUAACUUUAUUCCUUUCAAGCAAAAAGAUCUUUUAAGUCAGUUUUUUUGAACAAAACAUUAGUUCAUGCACAAAUGGCACUUUGGCAAAUGUAUGUAAACUUAUUUGACGUGGCAUUUUCUUUGAGAAAUUUUUUUCAGCAAAACUAGAUUGAGAGAAAGAUAUAGGAAUAGGAAAGUUUUUGAGAGCUCUCAUUAUGCAAAAUUAGAAAGAAAUCGAUGAAGUAGAAAACGAUCUGAAGGCAAAUCGAAUGAGAAGAAGGCGAAUGGAACAAAGAAAAGACCUGAGCGCAACAAAAAAAUUUGUUUGAUUCGCCUUCUUCUCAUUCGAUUCGCCUUCAGACCGUCUUCUUCUUCUUCAACGAUUUCUUUCUAAUUUUGCAGAAUGAGAGCUAAUUUCAAUUUCUUUCCCUCUCAAAAACUUUCUUAUUCCUAUCUCUCUCUAGUUUUGUAGAAAAAAAUUAUCAAACAAAAUGCCACAUCAGAUAAGUCGACGUACAUGCCAAAGUGCCACAUGUGCAAGGAACUAACAUUUUCGUCAAAAAAUUGAAGGAAAAGAUUUUUUUGGCUGGCGGAGAUAAAGUUAAGGAACACAUGGGUCCCACCAAUUUUUUGGUGAAGCUCAUUAAUCACUUGAGCCCAAUGACUUGGUUGAUUUGAUGUAUUGAUUGAUAUAAAAGAAAGAUAGAAGAAAUAAAAAAGAAAUAAGUGUUUCUUAUUUUUGAAAGUACCAAAAUGUCCCUAACUAAAAAAAUUUAUAAAAAAUAAAAGAACAAUUUGAAAAGGACAAAAAAGACAAUAACGAAGAAAAUUGAUUGAAAAAUCAAGGGUCUGUUUGAAACAGUUUUCAAAUACUCUUUUUUAGUUUUCAAAACUUAAAAAAGAAAAAACUUGUUUGAGAAUCCUCUUUUCAAAAGUUGUUUUUAAAUAUUGUUUCCAAUUUUAUUAUUUUAAAAAUCUCAAGUAACAAAAACAAAAUCUCACAAAACAUUAUUUCAUAAUAAUAACUAUAAUAAAUGUAAUAUUUCAAAACAACCUAAAAGAAAAAUAUAAUAGGGUCAAAUAUUUGCUCAAUCAACCAUAUCAGCACACCCUGUAUAUAAUAUAUAAACUUAUAUUUAUUGAACUUAUAACUUAAAUAAAUUAAAUUAAAGAAAAAUGAAACUUAUAACCCAAAUCCAAAAUAUAAUAGGGUCAAAUAGUUUCAUUUUUCUUUAAUUUAUUUAAGUUAUAAUUUCAAUAAACAUAAGUUUAUAUAUUAUGUACCGGGUAUGUUGAUAUUGUUGAUUGAACAAACAUUAUUGGACUCUAUUAUAUUUUUCUUUUAUGUUGUUUUGAAAUAUUACAUUUAUUAUAGUUAUUAUUAUGAAAUAAUGUUUUGUGAGAUUUUGUUUUUGUUACUUGAGAUUUUUAAAAUAAUAAAAUUGGAAACAAUAUUUAAAAACAAUUUUUGAAAAGAGGACUCUCAAACAAGUUUUUUCUUUUUUAAGUUUUGAAAACUUAAAAAGAGUAUUUGAAAACUGUUUCAAACAGACCCUUAAUUUUUCAAUCAAUUUUCUUCGUUAUAGUCUUUUUUGUCAUUUUCAAAUUGUUUUUUUAUUUUUUAUAAAAAAAAAUUUAGUUAGGACAUUUUGGUACUUUCAAAAAUAAGAAACACUUAUUUCUUCUAUUUUUCUUUUAUAUCAAUCAAUACAUCAAAUCAACCAAGUCAUUGGGCUCAAGUGGUUAAUGAGUUUCACCAAAAAGGACGAAUUUCGGGAGAACCCGAGUUCGAUUCCUGAGUGGAACAAUUUCUUGGCUAUGCUUUACUUACCUCGCGGCCGAACUCUUGAUUACUAUGAUCUUUUUCCUCUAGAAACCAGAGAGUUAUAAAAAAAAAUCAAUACAUCAAAUCUACUUUAUAUCUCACCUAUUUUUUCUUCUUAUAUUCUCUCUCACUUAUUUAUCUCUUCUAACUUUUUUCUCACAACCAAACACACCCUAAUAGCUUGGUGCUCGACUUGCUAUAUCUAGAUCACUUCAUAAGUUCACAAGGAGGGAGUUUUAUUUUUGAAAUAGUACUAGUAAAAUAACAUAAAUAUUUGACCUAGUGUCAGAAAAUUAUGGGACAACUCGUGGCACAGUCAAGCAAGAUAUUGUUUGUCGUUUUAUGUCUUUGUGUGGUCUCUUUCAAUUCAAUGUAAUCAACUUUCACCUCAUCUCAUGUACUCAGCUUUUACCUUUCUUCAAAACACGAAUACCACAUACCAUACGAUACGACAAAGGAAAAGAACACGUACUCUAGAGGGGGUGUUAGAAACGUGACAACGACAGUAUUUAAAACAUGGCAUGCCAUGUGCAUUAACGUAGAACAAAGAACAUUCAUCAUUUCAAGACUAGUUACAACUUCGAAGGAUCCCCUUAACAACCAACUGCACUUGUAAAUUACUAGUACAAAUAUAUAACUUUGAAGGAUCAGCCCUACUAUAUAAGGGAAAAUCAUUUUGGUUUUUUUUUACCAUCGUUUAAUUUAGUUCGAGUUAAUUCUUUGAUUUUAUUAUAUUCAACAUUACAUUGUUUUUUUUUAUUCAGCUUAUAAUUUAUUUUCAAACACCGGUUAAGAAAGUACGGACACAAACUUUGCAUUAUAAAUUUUUAAAAAUAGAAAAUAUUUUUAAAGGCUAAAAAUCGACCAACAAUAAUGAUAUUGUUAGGUUAAAAUUUUUCAUCUCAAACAUCACAUUUGUGUGUAUGAAUUUCAUGUAAUAAUAUUUAUCAUUUCGUCUCUAUAAUAUCAACGAGAAAAAAAAUUGUGUAGCAGUCAUGGGUUUAGAAAUGGGAGAAGAAGAAAAAAAUACAAUAAAAAAUUAUAAAUCUUUUUUUGGUACAAAAAAAUUAGAAAUCUAAAAAAGUGAUUUUUUUUUUUUCAUUCUCCAUGUUAUAAUUAUAGUAAUUAUUUUUUAAAAAGCACAAAAAUUUAAAACAAGAAAAAGUAAAGGGUGUCUUUUUAAGACAUGAGUGCUUCAACUUUUUCAUCAAAUAUAAAACAUGCAUGCACCUAAAUAAACAAAAUAUAGCAUUGUUAUUUUUUUUUGGGUAACUACAUGGUUACGAAAAGUAAUCAAAAAGUUAAUCCUAACUAGCACAUAAUAAUUGAUCAAGAGUGAGCUGCUAGGACAGUUUCAAGAUAUAGCUUCUAUACCCAAACAACCAAUAUAAUAUAUCAUUAACAAAACCUAAAAACAACAAAAAAAUAUUUAGCACCAAACAAAUAGCUGUAAAAUGUAAAAAAGAAAGACCAAAAAUCUUAUAAAGGGUGACACAUUGUUGUUGAUAUCUAAUUGCUACCCAACAAUAAACAACUCAGCCCAAAAUCAUGUGCCUAAACUCUAAAUCAAUUGAGAAAAUGAUGAAUUGACAUACUCAAUAAUCAUUAUGAUCUAAGGCAUGCCAUCUUUGACUUACUAGCAUCAAUAAUGAACAAUGAUGCAUAAAAAUACCUGGAAUCAUUCCUACUAAUAAUUACAUCAGUAAGCAGAAAUUUUGCAUAGGUAACUAAAAAAAAAUAUAAUCAAGAUCUCACGUCAUGUCGAUGAAGAAUAGAUAGGUGGUAAAGGCUUGAAAAUAUGAGAACCAAAGCUAGGCUAACGGACGGAGUUCAUUGUUCGCGUCCUUCUACAUUGUUAGCAAGAGAUCUUGAACGAUUUCAGACAUAGCUGGCCGGAAUUCGGGUUCACGCUGAAAAUAAAAUAAUAAGAAUGAUUAAAAGGAUAAUAGAUGAUAUAGAGACGGUAAGGUGCAUCUGAUUUAAUCACUUCAAAUAUUUUUGAAAACUCGGUACCCGGCCCAUGGACCGACUAAUCCGAUUGGAUCAAUUCCACCGCCCACUUGCGAGGUCCCCAUUUAAAGCCAGAGUUUGUUUUUUGCUCUAUAUGGACUAGCCCACCGAAAUUGGCACCAGAGGGAAUCAAACCUGAGACCUUGAGGGGAGCACACUCCCAAGGUCCCAAACCAACACCACUAGGCCAUUUAUUCGUACCAAUAACCAUGCAACUAAGAUUACCUGAAUACAUGAAGAAACAAUAUCUGCAAAGCGUGACAACGACUUCAUAGAAUAUGAUCCAUUUAAGCGAGGAUCAACCAUUUUUGACAAUGCAUCAAUAUCAUGAAGUUGAGGAAUUGCCCAUCUGACCAAAAAUUGCUCUCCACGAGGCCGUGACCUAAAAUAUGUAUGUUGCCUUAGUCAAAUCUAGUAUUUAAAAUAUGGUUUCGCUUCAGCUGGAGUAUAAAAGUAAAGGACAAUGAACAUAAUUACAAAUGAGAUUGAACACCUGUCAUAGGAUUUUCUUCCAGUGAGGAGUUCUAGCAUUACGACUCCGAAACUGAAGACAUCACUUUGCUGUGUAUAACUUCCCAACUCAAAUUCUGGAGCACUGUAACCAUGAGCUGUAAGGAGGUGUCCAGAUAACUGAAAUUGAUGCCACGUUAGUCAGACAUGUAAAAAGAACAGAACAAGAUAUAAACUUAGAUAUUAUUGUAGCUCUCGGUAUCAUCUAUUAUUUGUCUUUUCAAAUAACAAUUGCCGAGUGCUAGCAGGUGUUGACAGUUGAACCAUAUGGUCAGACCCGGUGAACUGUGAACCGGUCGAUCUGACCGGGUGAACCGUGAGCCGGGCGGUUUGACCAGGUGAACCGUGGUUAUUUCUCUUUACAAAUAACAAUUGCCGAGUGCUAAACAGUAUCUUGACUCCUUUUCACACUUAUGAAAGUCAUAACUUCAUUUUUUUUAGGUAAUUUAUUCCAUAACGUUUCAAUGAUACUCUCAGGAACAUAUGAAACAUUAAAAGCAGACAAUUCAUCAUGAGACCAAACUAG